rnacentral:rRNA from 1 species
AAGGCUAAAUACUUCUUAGUGACCGAUAGCGCAUAGUACUGUGAAGGAAAGGUGAAAAGUACCCCGGGAGGGGAGUGAAAAAGAACCUGAAACCCUGUGUCUACAAGCUGUGGGACCUUUUUAUAUGAGGGACUGCGUACUUUUUGUAGAACGGUCCGGCGAGUUGUGCGUACUGGCAAGGUUAAGGACUUAAGGUCCGGAGCCGAAGUGAAAGCAAGCGUUAAGAGCGCGGUAAGUCAGUGAGUGCAGACCCGAAAC